rnacentral:rRNA from 1 species
GGGAUGAGCCCAUCGCGUAGCCGUUAGCGAUCGCCUAAUCAGUUAUAUCGCUUAACGGGGUGCCGCGUAUGGGAAGUUCGCAGAGCGGCUUACGGCUCGUUCAAGUAUUUAUUGAACAUAGUCCAAGUACCCAGAGAGGGUGUAAGGCCCGUUCGGCGAGUCGUAAGCGUCUCCCGCGUUCUUCCCGAGAGUCGGGUUGCUUGAAAGUGCAGCCCUAAGAGGUGGUAAACUCCAUCUAAGGCUAAAUACUUCCACGAGACCGAUAGCGAACAAGUACCGCGAGGGAAAGUUGAAAAGAACUUUGAAGAGAGAGUUCAAUAGAGCGUGAAACUGCCACGAGGUUAAAGCGGAUGGACGGUCGUGGCAGAACAGGGGGACUCAGCCACCGGGGCGUUGUGAGGCGCUCGUGAAGUGACGACCGACUCUUCGGCUUCUCUGCGUACUUGUUACCAGAGUUGUCGGGGAGGUACAAACUGGCGUCCGUCGCGUUGGCCCGUCUCCUCGUACUCGUAUGGUGGCUGUACCUUUCACCUUAGUAAGCCGUCGCGGUCGUUGUGACGUUGUCGAUUACCCCUAGGUUCGGGAACCGACCCCCAAAGCCUUUCGUCCUCUCAUUACGAUGUCGUUUGUUUUGCGAGUAGGGGCCGGGGACGCUUUUGGGAAUACGACGGACGCCUGCGACGAUAAUGAUAGCAGACGGGUCGGUUCAUGAAUUUUGUCGGAGGAACGCUCACUGCUCGCGUUUCGGCGCGUUGUU